rnacentral:rRNA from 1 species
GACGAACGCUGGCGGCGUGCCUAAUACAUGCAAGUAGAACGCUGAAGGAGGAGCUUGCUCUUCUGGAUGAGUUGCGAACGGGUGAGUAACGCGUAGGUAACCUGCCUGGUAGCGGGGGAUAACUAUUGGAAACGAUAGCUAAUACCGCAUAAAAUUGAUUAUUGCAUGAUAGUCAAUUAAAAGGUGCAAUUGCAUCACUACCAGAUGGACCUGCGUUGUAUUAGCUAGUUGGUGAGGUAACGGCUCACCAAGGCAACGAUACAUAGCCGACCUGAGAGGGGGAUCGGCCACACUGGGACUGAGACACGGCCCAGACUCCUACGGGAGGCAGCAGUAGGGAAUCUUCGGCAAUGGACGGAAGUCUGACCGAGCAACGCCGCGUGAGUGAAGAAGGGUUUCGGAUCGUAAAGCUCUGUUGUAAGAGAAGAACGAGUGUGAGAGUGGAAAGUUCACACUGUGACGGUAUCUUACCAGAAAGGGACGGCUAACUACGUG